GAUGAACGCUAGCUACAGGCUUAACACAUGCAAGUCGAGGGGUAACGAGAGGAAAGCUUGCUUUCCUUGUCGACGACCGGCGCACGGGUGAGUAACGCGUAUCCAACCUGCCCCCAACUAGGGAAUAACCUUGCGAAGGUAAGACUAAUACCCUAUAAUUUCCUCAGAUGUCAUCUGACGAGGAAUAAAGAUUUAUCGGUUGUGGAUGGGGAUGCGUCUGAUUAGCUUGUUGGCGGGGUAACGGCCCACCAAGGCAACGAUCAGUAGGGGUUCUGAGAGGAAGGUCCCCCACAUGUGAACUGAGAGACGGUCCAAACUCCUACGGGAGGCAGCAGUGAGGAAUAUUGGUCAAUGGGCGGAAGCCUGAACCAGCCAAGUAGCGUGCAGGAUGACGGCCCUAUGGGUUGUAAACUGCUUUUAUACAGGAAUAAAGUUAGCCACGUGUGGUUAUUUGUAGGUACUGUAUGAAUAAGGACCGGCUAAUUCCGUGCCAGCAGCCGCCGCAG
rnacentral:rRNA from 1 species